rnacentral:rRNA from 1 species
CAAUAGCGUAUAUUCAAGUUGUUGCAGUUAAAAAGCUCGUAGUUGAAUUUUUGCGCUGUGUGUGUGGUUUGGGCUCGCGCUCAACACUGCAGAUGCGGUGCUUUCCUUCUAGGGAGCCAGUGUGCCAUUCGGUUGGUGGGCUGGGGAACUAGGACAGUUACUUUGAGAAAAUUAGAGUGUUUAAAACAGGCGUUUGCUUGAAUAUAUUAGCAUGGAAUAACGGAAUAGGACUUUGUCUUAUUUUGUUGGUUUAGGAGACAAAGUAAUGAUUAAUAGGGACGGUUGGGGGCAUUAGUAUUCCACAGUCAGAGGUGAAAUUCUUGGAUUUGUGGAAGACUAACUUCUGCGAAAGCAUUUGCCAGGCACGCUUUCAUUAA